UGAAUCAAAGAAUCAGGUUGAGGGUCAAUCUUGUAAUUUUACAUCUCUUCUACCUUAAAACCUAAAAGGAAAAACUUUUUAGCCAACAGGCAUGUGGCACACAGCCCCCGAGCCUUUGCACGAUUAAUUUGGGUAUAAGGGUCAACAAUUGGUCAAUGUUACCAUUUGCCAACUGUAACCUUAUCUCUUCCGAAAAUUGGAUAUUGUUCCAGCGAUAACUGAGGGCUUUAAAAACAAAAUAUUCCCCAUAAUUCUCACCUCUUGGUUAACUAUGCCAUGGUUAUAAAUAAUGGAGGAACUCAUCCCUUCCAUUUCACCCGAGCCAUUCUGCCAAUUUACCCUCUGCACUGUAGCCCUAGCGCCGCCGCUUGCCAUUCCCGAGCUUGAGUGCCACCAUCCCUCACUGC
rnacentral:lncRNA from 1 species